GUUUCUCAUAAAGGCCUGAGCGUCUGGCCUUGCAUAAAUGUUUUUGGUGCGUUCCUUUUGGGACCAGCCCAGUCUUUACUGCAUAGGCUAAUCAGCUGUAAAUUCUGUUUUAAGAAGGAAAGGAGGGGGGAGGGAAGGAGUUAAACCACCAAGGUCCAUUGCUCAACACUCUCAGAAAAGAGGAUAAGAAUGGGAAGGGGCAAAAGAAAGAGAAAGAAGGAGAAAAAAAAGGUCUGAGGUUUGACAAAUGAUCUAAUAAAGGGGCAGAAGGAUUACAGGCUGGGCGCCCGUUGAGAAGAGGAAGUGGUGUGCGGAGAUGCCGUACAUAUGACAACCAGCUGGCACAGAUCAGCAAGGCCAUAAAGGACACAAAUCUCAGGGAUGUGGGGACACCUGAAACACAAAAAGACAAGGAAAAAAGACAAGGAAAGAGAGGAAUUUUGAAGAGCAGUAAACGGCAGAGUGUCAAAUCUGGUUCGUAUUGUAAGACAGCUGGGCUCCUGAGUGCUUCUAAGCCAUAGACAUGGUUCCUCUUCAGGAAAACAAGACAUGAUUGGUGAUCAUCAAAUCUGAAGACGCAUAGCAUGAGGGGAACUAUGCACAACAUGGAGAAAGAAAGUCACGCUAGAUAAGGCCAUCUGAUAAAUGCCAUAUAUGAAGGAAAAUUGGAGAGAAA
ensembl:lncRNA